rnacentral:sRNA from 1 species
UAACAAAUUACGCUGAGCCCGGGGAGAG